AGCCCUCAGCGUACAUGCCAGCUAAUUACAGAUGCAGGAGCAAACCCCUGGCCCAUACAUCAAGACGGGGUCUCUCUCUGUCACCCAGGCUGGAGUGCAGUGAUGUGCUCCUAGCUCACUGCAGCCUCAAACGCCUGGUCUGAAGGGAUCCUCCCACCUCAGUCUCCCAAGCGGCCGGGACUGCAGAUGAGGAAAUUAACUGAGAAAGAAGAUACAAGACCUGCCAAAUUCUUUUUUUUUUGUUUUGUUUGAGACAGAGUCUCACUCUGUCGCCCACGCUGUAGUGGCGCGAUCUCGGCUCACUGCAACCUCCACCUCCUGGGUUCAAGCGAUUCUCCUGCCUCAGCCUCCUGAGUAGCUGGGCUUACAGGCAUGCGCCACCAUGCCCAGCUAAUUUUUGUAUUUUUAAUAGAGACGGGGUUUUGCCACACUGGCCAGGCUAGUCUCGAACCCCUGACCUCAGGUGAUCUACCCACCUUGGCCUCCCAAAGUGCUGGGAUUACAGAAGUGAGCCACUGUGCCCAGCCUGACCUGUCAAAUUCUUGUCAAACUCAACUUCAUGUAACACUGAACUGUAACUAUCAAGUUAGAAUAUUUUUUUCAUUUGUUUGCAUAUAUAUAGACUUCAUUAAUCUUAAUUUAGUGAUCUCAGUUAAGAA
rnacentral:antisense_RNA from 1 species